CUGCAGUNGAGCGGACAGAUGGGAGCUUGCUCCCUGAAGUCAGCGGCGGACGGGUGAGUAACACGUGGGCAACCUGCCUGUAAGACUGGGAUAACUCCGGGAAACCGGGGCUAAUACCGGAUAAUUCUUUCCCUCACAUGAGGGAAAGCUGAAAGAUGGUUUCGGCUAUCACUUACAGAUGGGCCCGCGGCGCAUUAGCUAGUUGGUGAGGUAACGGCUCACCAAGGCAACGAUGCGUAGCCGACCUGAGAGGGUGAUCGGCCACACUGGGACUGAGACACGGCCCAGACUCCUACGGGAGGCAGCAGUAGGGAAUCUUCCGCAAUGGACGAAAGUCUGACGGAGCAACGCCGCGUGAGUGAUGAAGGUUUUCGGAUCGUAAAACUCUGUUGUUAGGGAAGAACAAGUACCGGAGUAACUGCCGGUACCUUGACGGUACCUAACCAGAAAGCCACGGCUAACUACGUGCCAGCAGCCGCGGUAAUACGUAGGUGGCAAGCGUUGUCCGGAAUUAUUGGGCGUAAAGCGCGCGCAGGCGGUUCCUUAAGUCUGAUGUGAAAGCCCCCGGCUCAACCGGGGAGGGUCAUUGGAAACUGGGGAACUUGAGUGCAGAAGAGAAGAGUGGAAUUCCACGUGUAGCGGUGAAAUGCGUAGAGAUGUGGAGGAACACCAGUGGCGAAGGCGACUCUUUGGUCUGUAACUGACGCUGAGGCGCGAAAGCGUGGGGGAGCAAACAGGAUUAGAUACCCCUGGUAGUCCACGCCGUAAAACGAUGAAGUGCUAAGUGUUAAGAGGGUUNUCCGCCCUUUAGUGCUGCAGCAAACGCAUUAAAGCACUCCGCCUGGGGGAGUACGGGCCGCAAGGGUUGAAACUUCAAAGGAAUUGACGGGGGGCCCGCACAAGCCGGUGGAGCAUGKGGGUUUAAUUCCGAANCAACCGCGAAAGA
rnacentral:rRNA from 2 species